GAACUUAGCAUUUCAUUAAGCGGAGGAAAAGAAACCAACAGGGAUUGCUUAGUAACGGCGAGUGAAGCGGCAUAGCUCAAAUUUGAAAUCUGGCGCUUUGAGCGUCCGAGUUGUAAUUUGUAGAGGAUGUUUCGGUAUUGUCUCCAGUCUAAGUCCCUUGGAACAGGGUGUCGCAGAGGGUGAGAAUCCCGUACGCGACUGGCUGCCUUUGCCAUGUGAAACUCCUUCGACGAGUCGAGUUGUUUGGGAAUGCAGCUCUAAUUGGGAGGUAAAUUUCUUCUAAAGCUAAAUACUGGCCAGAGACCGAUAGCGCACAAGUAGAGUGAUCGAAAGAUGAAAAGCACUUUGGAAAGAGAGUUAAAAAGUACGUGAAAUUGUUGAAAGGGAAGCGCUUGCAAUCAGACCUGCUUGUAGUUGUUCAUCUAGGCCUUUUGGUCUAGUGCAUUCUUCUGCAAGUCAGGCCAGUAUCGGUUCGGGCGGUUGGAUAAAGAAUUCGGGAAUGUAGCUCCUCUCGGGGAGUGUUAUAGCCUGUUUUGUAAUGCAACCAGCCCGGAUCGAGGACCGCGCUUCGGCUAGGAUACUGGCGUAAUGGUUGUAAGCGGCCCGUCUUGAAACACGGACCAAGGGGUCUAACAUCUGUGCGAGUGUUCGGGUGUCAAACCCGUGCGCGUAAUGAAAGUGAACGGAGGCGGGAACCUUUUAGGUGCACCGUCGACCGAUCCUGAUGUCUUCGGAUGGAUUUGAGUAAGAGCAUAGCUGUUGGGACCCGAAA
rnacentral:rRNA from 1 species